rnacentral:rRNA from 1 species
UUCGUAGGCGGUGUGGCAAGUUGGGAGUGAAAUCUCUGGGCUCAACCCAGAGGCUGCUUCCAAAACUGCUGUGCUUGAGUGUGAGAGAGGCUCGUGGAAUUGCAGGUGUAGCGGUGAAAUGCGUAGAUAUCUGCAGGAACACCCGUGGCGAAAGCGGCGAGCUGGAUCACAACUGACGCUGAGGAACAAAGCUAGGGGAGCAAACA